CGGAGGUGGUAGCGCGUCCCAGGAGAUAUGGGCGAAGCCUUCGCGGCACCGCCAAGCGGUGGGAAACCGUCCCGGGAGACACCCCGGGAGGGCUUCCCGAAAUGCCGCGCGAGCCUUCAAGGCUGGAAGAGACCCCGACAACAUGUCCAUUACAAUGGCUGCGGUUCCGUCUGCCUGCGCGCGGGUCGCACUCCGGCAUCUUCCCCGAGCGCAGGGAACCCGGGUCGGAAAGGGCCUUGGACAUCAGCUAGGGAGGAAGACUAGGCCACCGCUGUCUCUUCGCGCGUGUGACUGCUUUCUCGAGGCCACGCGGCUGAAGCAGCGGUAUUAAACUAGUGCUAGGGUUUCCCAGCCACGGUGAAAAGAACGCGCGACUUCGGGCGGAGUGGACCCCGCAAUCCUAGGGCUUCCGGCCGCGGCCGCUCGCGCCUGCGCACUGGGGGGCGGGGGCCGCCAGCUGGAGGAGCGUACCAUCCGCAGGCAGGGGUGGGCGCGCGUCGCUCCCGGAAGUAGCCCCUGCGCGUCCCGGAAGUCGAGCCCCCUACCCCGGCUCCUUUGGGCCUUUGGUGUCUUCCGGGGGCUCCCGCCGCGGCUGGGGGUGAGGCGCGGUGGCCGGUGGGGCGGUGGGCUCGUCGCUGCCGACUGCUGCGGGGCUGUCGGCUGCGGCGGGAGCGGCGCCCGGCUUCGUAGCUUCGCGGGCCUGGUCUCAGCGGGCGGCUAGGCCCCUCCCGGACCCCAGGCCCUAGAUUCAUUUCGAUUCGAGUUGGUCCUCCCAGUGUCAGCCUCAUUGUCGUCCUUGUGUGCUUUGGUGGCUUAAGAGAAGGCAGUGUGUUACAUCGGCGACUGCACCUGCGCAAAGUCCCAGCUAUACUCAGGGAGUCCGUCAGGAGUUAAGGAUCCUGAAGCAGUAGCUGAAGGUCUGCCUCAGGCCAGGUUUCAGUUGCUCGCUCUGAGCUGUCAGUGGUGGUAAAGCCUACAGGCCGCUUCCGGAGGCCUGCUGCCGGCCCUGGUCGUCCGCUCUGCCAUCACGCCCCCACUCUGGAUUUCCAGUUCUACAGCCAUGAAAUAAGAGCUGAGCCUGGGCCCAUCUCAUUUCCCCAAGUUCCCAAGCAUGUUGGAAGUGGAAAAAAUCGGGAAGCCCCCCAAGAGACAUACACCUUCAGGAUCAGUGGGGCAGGGGCCGUCUGUGUGUGCUGCCUCCUCCGUGACCAGACCCAGGAGCCCAGCUGCUUCCUUGGCUUCUCCUAGCUCCAAGUUUAAAACCAGAGCUACCAAUACCUCUCACGGACUCGGCUGGGGUGCGGGGGGGCGCCUGCCGGAGACCGAGGUCAAACUUGAGUUUGUAGACAUAGGAGAGAGGGCUGUCAGUGGCCACAGCAAGAUCGGACUGUCUGCCUCCCCGAAGGGGAGUGAGACGGAUCUGCCCCUACGGAGGAAGAGACCUCACCCCCUCCCCAGUUCCUCGUCGGUCCCUUCACCUGAUGGAGUUUUCCUGGAGGAGCAGGAGGAAGGCACCCUGGGCCUACUUGUCCACAGUGAGACGAGCGAAGCCUGCUCCCUGGGGAGGCCCGGUCUGCACCCAGCUGCCUCCCGUGAAAAGUGCCAGGCCAACCCUGGGCAGAGGAAGCCAAAGAGCGACUCUGGCCUCUACCGCCUCAAGUCUGUGCUUGGGCAGGAGCCCCCUGGGCAGCCCGAGAAGAAGGUGUCCAAACAGAAGGCACGAGGUCAGGGGGAGGAGGGGGAGCCGACGGGAAAGAAGUCGAGGGCCCCAGCACUCAGCUCUGGCCAGUCCCCCUCUCCCCCAGCGCUACACCAGACAGCCGGGGUGGACAGGCCAGAGGUGGGCCAGCCUGGUGAGAGUGAGAAGGCAAGGCGAGCUGACCUCCUCAUCGCCCAUCUGGCCAGAGAGCUGCGACGCCUCAAGAAAUGGAAGAAGAGGCACUUGCUUGCGGCUGUCGGGGACAAGCCACCCUGCCUGAAGAAGCUGGUCAGAACUCUAAAAGCGGAGACCAAGGGCUGGGCUUUUCCCGGGCAUUCCCCCGGCCCUGCGGACACCGCGGGUCACAAGGCCGUGUCAGACAUUGGACGGUUCUUUACCAUUGACUGCAAGGACGUCUGCCACGUCACCUGCACUCUGUGUCAUGCCAGCAUCAGACUGGGCAAAUUUAAGGGGCAUUUCCAAACCUCAGGCCUGGUCCGUCACUUGGUGAGUAAGCACGGACUAGAGAGAGACAGAAGGCCAGCCGCCGCCAGCCCGGGGGAGAAGAAGGGCGGGGCCGAGGAGAGAAAGCACAAGGGCCUGCCCGCAAGUCCUGCUGGCCUUGCCCCCGAGGGGCUGCCGUCACCAGGACGCUGCACGGAUGCCUCCCCUCUGGUGGAUGGUGGCAGGCAGCUGGCGGUGGGCAGGCCUGAGCAGCUGUCACUGGCUCCGCCUCUCUUGCCUCCUUCCUGUAGAGAUGACCCUGCUGCCUCCCCGCCGGCAGUCGGGGUGGGCCGGGGUGGCACCCAUGCCCCCGGCCAGCCCCGAGCACAGGCCUGGACCCGCAGCAUCGCGGAGUUGCUCUGCAGCCUGGCUUUGCCGCUGUCCUUUGUGUCAUCGCUGCCUUUCAGAAGGUUUAUGGCCCAGGUCGACCCUUGCUACCACGUGCCGCCUCCCGCCUUCUUCUGCGGGAGAGCCUUGCCUCUGCUCCGUGAGGCGAUCGAGGAGCAGGUGUGUCGGGAGAUGCAGUGGGCCAAGGGCAGCUGUGUCCACCUCACCGUGUCCACCGCUGCCCGGGACACGGUUGUGGACUACGUGGCCAUCACCGCCCACUGGGGAGCCGUACAGCCGGGCAGUCGGCGGGUGGCGUCGGGGAGCCUGAGAAAGCAGGCCGUGCUGUGGGUUCGGGGCCUGCCCCAGGAGAGCUCUCCGGAGGAGAGGCAGGGGGAGCUGCGGGAGCAGGUGGGCCUGUGGCUCAGCCGCAGCUCCCUGCAGCCAGGCUUCCUGGUGUCGGGCGGCUGCCUCAGCCUGGAGCAGGCAGUGAGGACAGAGGGCUACACCCACCUCCCCUGCUUUGCCCACUGCCUCGACUCCCUGGUGAGGAACUUCCUGCGUCACCAUCAGAGCGUCCAGCUCAUCCUGGGUACGGUGCGGGCCAUCUGCAGCCAUUUCCAGGGCUCCGCGGAGGCCCGGCGGCUCCUCGGCCAGCUGCAGCAGCAGCGUGGCCUCCCGGCCCAGCAGCCCUUCUGGGAGCUCUCGGACCACUGGGUGUCCGCCUACUGCUUGCUGGAGUGGCUGGUGAGGCAGCAGCGGCCCUUGCAAGAGUACGAGAGGCGACACCAGCUGGGCAAGGCUGGGACGGCCCUGUCGACUACGUUUUGGAGCCUGACGGACAGUCUGGUCACGCUCCUGCAGCCCUUCUGGGUGGUGGUCCGGGAGGCGAGCGCCGCGCAGGCUUCUUUAAGCCAGGUGCUGCCCCAGCUACGCUACCUGCAUAUCUUCCUGGAGCAGGUUAACCGGCACUUCGAGGAGCAGGGCGGCGGGGAGGUGGGGGCAGCCGUCCGGCUGGCCAAGGGCUUGGCCCUGCAGCUCUCCACAGAUGGCCAGCUCAACGAGCUCUUCCAUCGCAAGGAGUUUGUGCUGGCGACCCUCCUGGACCCCCGCUUCAAGGGGAAGAUCGAGUCCAUCCUGCCUGCGGGGGCCGACAUUGACCACUGGAAGCAGGUUCUCGUGUACAAGGUGAAGGAGAUCAUGGUGUCUGACUACUCCUUGCCUCCCUCACCCUCCCUGCACAGCCCCAAGGCGAGGCGUGCGGGCCCUACCCCGAGCGGCCGAGUCACCAGGAGCCUCGGGGCCGAGGGGAAGGGCCAGAAGGUGCCUGUGCAGGGGGGCGGCGGCUCGGGGUCUCUGCUGCUGGACCAGAGGGAGAAGAGCUUGCUGGAGCAGCUGGAAAGCGUGGGGCUGCUGGCGUCCAAGAGAAGCGGAGCGUCGCUCUCCACCGAGAGCCACUUGGCCAGUGUCAUCGUCAAGAAGUACCUGCGUGAGAAUGAGACAGUUGGCGCCCAGGAGGACCCGCUGGUUUACUGGGAGAAGAGGCAGGAGGUCUGGCCAGCCCUGGCGAGACUGGCCACUGUCUACCUGUCCUGUCCCCCGACGGGGGCCUUCUCUGGAAGCGUCUGUGCCUCCCUGGACAGCCCUGCCCUUGCAGAGCAUAGCACCCCUCUCCCAGUGGGGACCAUUGAACAUCUCCUCUUCUUGAAGAGCAACCUGGAGAAUUUCCCCGACUACCCUGCCCCUGCCCUCAUCUUCCCCAGUGGAGACCCGGCCGACGGGGAGCAGAACAGCGAGGCCGACCUCGUCUGACGCCCUGAAAGUCUGCCUGUGGGAAGCGUGUCCGGCAUCAGAGGGGAGGGCAGGAUGCUGCACCCUAGGGCAUUAGACAGAGGUGGCCAGAGUCCUCCCUCCACCUGUUUGGAGGGAAUAGGGACAGGUUCUCGAUUCUUGACACAUUGCCCUUUUUUUCUUCCCCAGGGUGAUGUCAUUUCCCAUUCAUAUAUUGCUUAAUUUGUCUCCAGCGGUUUGUGCAUAGAAAAGGUGAACUCUGUCCAAAAGUCACUGUAAGUUGUGCCACACACCUCUGUGGGUGGCACAGGGACCCCGCUGAACACCUGCCAUGUGCAGGAUCGCCACCAUGACAGAGACUCACCCGGUCUCGGAUGGCAGUCAUGCUGUGCUGUGUCCUGCCUUGGCUGGCUCCUGGGCACCAUUUGCCAGCCCACUUGCCAGGUAGGUAAACUGAGACUCAGCAGUGGCGAUUCGGAAUGAGGGAAGGUGGCCUCCUGCAGGAGAGACGAGUGUCCUCUGUGCCUUAGUCAUGGUCCCAUCCGUGUGACCAAAUCCUGUCCGCAGACACAUGUUGGACCAGGAUAGGAGGACUCGGAUUCUGGAUGUUCAGGGGUGAGCGUUGCAGGGGGUUGGCGUGGAUGAGCCAAUUCCCUCAGCAGGGCCUACCCGCUCCAAGCUGCCACCUGUGUGUCAGCUGGGUUUGCACAGCGGGUGGGAGGGCGCUCGGUCGGUCGGGCCCAGACCUGCCUGCUUGAGGCGUGCGGAUUUCAGGGAGCAUGGGACCGGGGGCAGAGCAGAGGUCUGUGCACUGGAGAGUCAGGGAUUCACCUUGGUGACUAUGCAGUACUAUCACCGAUGGGGGCGUGGGGUGGUGAGCUGGAGGGCCACAUGUCUCCUCCCAGGCAGGACUUGGGGGCACAGAAGUCCCGAUUUCCAGUUAAUGUGCUCUUUGCUCCUCUGUUUCCUCUCCUGCAAAAAGCGUUCUUCCCAGCUGUAAUGUGGGUAGCACGUACAAUUCCUCCCUUCCUCCCACCACCGCCCCUACCCGGUCCUCCCAUCCUUUCCCUCCACAGCAGCCAUCUCCGUCUAGACGGUCAUCGAGCCAGUUCUCCAGGGCAGGGGUCCCUAACCGUCGUGGUCAGUCUGUGGGCUUGCCCCUGCCCGGGGGCCUCAUCUCUGAGUCUGGUGGGCGUUGGAACAGUGUCCGUCACUGGGUCCUUGCACACCUCCCUCUGGCUGCUCGUCAGUGCCCUCCACUCAGCCUCAUAAAUGUUGGUGUUCUUUUGACGUCGGCCUGUGACUGCUCCCUUUCUCUGUGCGCCGGGGGCUCCUGACCACAUUCACCCCCCAAAUAGCGUGUGGUUGGGAAGCUGUGCGUAAUCCCGGACAGAGGCCUGCAGAUACUUAAAGAGGUCUGUGUCCUCCAGAAGCCUGGCCCGUGAGCCACACAUUCUCCCUGGGCACCUCUGCGGAUGACACUUGAGUCCCUUUAGCCUAGAGCUUCGAUUGCCUCCUAGGCCCGAUGCACAUGGUCACCUCCAGCUGGAUGUCUUCUUGCCCCCUCCCUCAGGCUGUCCCAUGUGCCCCACAUGUGGAGGAAGGGAGCCCCUGCAUCCAGUGAUGUGGCUAGACCCUUGGAAGCUGUUCUACAUGCUUCAGUGCUCGCUGCCUUCCGUGAAGCCCUGUCUCUCCAGUGCUUUUAUGGCAGGUUCUAGUGUCUGGUGACCCUCUCGCACCCCUCACCCCCAUGGGUGACAGUUUUUUUUUUUUAAUUUUUUUUUUCAACGUUUUUUAUUUAUUUUUGGGACAGAGAGAGACAGAGCAUGAAUGGGGGAGGGGCAGAGAGAGAGGGAGACACAGAAUCAGAAACAGGCUCCAGGCUCUGAGCCAUCAGCCUAGAGCCUGAUGCGGGGCUCGAACUCACGGACCGCGAGAUCGUGACCUGGCUGAAGUCGGACGCUUAACCGACUGCGCCACCCAGGCGCCCCUGGGUGACAGUUUUAAGUGGGUGCAAAGUUGACCGCGUCUCACAAGCCCCAGCAGACCCCUUUUGAAUACAGUGAACCAGACCUCUUAGUGGAUGCCUGGAAUCGCUUUUGGAAAGAAAUGAAGUGGAAAUGAAGGGGUGUUGCGGACUGGAAGGAGCUAGGUAAAGCCGUGGGGGAGGCGGAUCAGAUCUGUUAGCAGCCUCCCCAGCUCCCUGGUGGGGGUGUGGGAGGAAUUCUGGGCCCGGUUUCCUUGGAGAGGGAACUAAAAAACUGCAUUGAUUGUGUAAACACAGACUUGGGACUGGUCAACACCCUGGAACCCAGGUUUUAUAAACAGGAGUGAAUGGUCCCAUGGUUCCUUGCAGGCAUCACCCUGCCUGGCCCAGGCCCGGCUAGAGUCUGCAGGGUUGGGAAGCUGCCACUUGGAGCAGAGGUCCCUUCUUGUUUUCUCUCUGCUCAAACCUUGACCCCUCUGUGGCCGGCAUUGCCGAUGUCCCCCCGCCCAGGCCUCCUCCCUCCCACGUGUGGUCUUGCACUGGCGCCUAGGCUCAUGCUGGCCCAUGGCCAUUGGUAACUGGAAAGGCCCUCCUUCCCCUGCCUUCCCGGAACCCAGGUGCUACCCCGGUCCUUCCGUCCAGGAUGGCUUCUUUGCCUGGCCUUCCCCCACUUGCAUUCUUAGGAAAUGACGUCAUGUUUGCAGGUAGGACCAUUCUGUCUGGCACAUAGGGAUUGAUGCCCUUCCGUCGAUGCCGGAGUAAAGAGCUAGUUUGGUGGGCUAGGGUGGAGAGCAAUGGCAUCAGGACCGGCAGUGCUGCACCUGCUCCCGGGGCCGUCACCGUCCCUUCCUUCCCUUGACCUCAGGCUCCUCAUUGGACUGAGAGCUGAGCCUUCAGGCCCCACAGCUGCAACCAGAGGUUACACGUUGGCCUAUGCAAUCUGGAGACCAUUCUGAAUGCAUUGCUAAUGUUUUAAAAAAAACAUUGGGUCAGUUAAAAAUAUUUUAAAAGGAUGGGGGAGUGCCUGGGUGGCUCGGCCGGUUGCAUCCGACAUGGGCUCAGGUCAUGACCUCGCGGUUCGUGAGUUCCAGCCCCACAUCGGGCUCACUGCUGUCAGCCUGUCAGGCCAGAGCCCGCUUUGGAUCUUCUGUCCCCAACUCUCUGCCCCUCCUCCACUUGGAUUCUUUCUCAAAAAAUGAAUAAACGUUAAAAAAUUAAAAAUAAAA